GAUAUUGCGCAAUGGGGGGAACCCUGACGCAGCAACGCCGCGUGAAGGAAGAAGGCCUUCGGGUCGUAAACUUUUGUCUUCAGGGAAGAUAGUGACGGUACCUGAAGAGGAAGCCACGGCUAACUACGUGCCAGCAGCCGCGGUAAUACGUAGGUGGCGAGCGUUGUCCGGAUUUACUGGGUGUAAAGGGCGUGUAGGCGGGAUGGCAAGUCAGGUGUGAAAUACCAAGGCUUAACCUUGGGGGUGCACUUGAAACUGCUGUUCUUGAGUGUCGGAGAGGAAAGCGGAAUUCCUAGUGUAGCGGUGAAAUGCGUAGAUAUUAGGAGGAACACCAGUGGCGAAGGCGGCUUUCUGGACGAUAACUGACGCUGAGGCGCGAAAGCGUGGGGAGCAAAC
rnacentral:rRNA from 1 species